UACAGGGGGGGCAAGCGUUGUUCGGAAUUACUGGGCGUAAAGGGCUCGUAGGCGGCCAACUAAGUCAGACGUGAAAUCCCUCAGCUUAACUGGGGAACUGCGUCUGAUACUGGAUGGCUUGAGUCUGGGAGAGGGAUGCGGAAUUCCAGGUGUAGCGGUGAAAUGCGUAGAUAUCUGGAGGAACACCGGUGGCGAAGGCGGCAUCCUGGACCAACACUGACACUGAGGAGCGAAAGCCAGGGGAGCAAACGGG
rnacentral:rRNA from 1 species